CUAGCAACAAGAUGAAGCCUGACAACCAUUAUGAACUACACAGGAAUAAUUAAAUAAUUAUGCAUGAGGAGUUCCCAUCUUGGCUCAGCAGAAACAAAUCUGACUAGCAUGCAUGAGGAGGCAGGUUCGAUCCCUAGCCCCCCUCAGUGGGUUAAGGAUCAAGUGUUUCAGUGAGCUGUGGUGUAGGCCAGUGGCUACAGCUCUGUUUUGACCCCUAGCCUGGGAACCUCCAUAUGCUAUGGGUGAGGCCCUAAAAAGAUGAAAAAAUAAUAAUAACAAAAUAAAAAAUAUGCAUAAAUAUUCAACUGAACCUCAAGAAACUUGAGAAAUAAUGGUGCUUCAGAUUUCAACCUUAAAAUUGUUUAGAAAAUCAGAGAGGAACCCUGGAAUUAACAACCAAAACAGAACAAGAAAAGACAGCAUUACUAUUAGAAGAAAUUAAAAGAAAGAUUUCCCCGGGAGACACAUUGUAUCAUGCCACAUAUUUACCAUGUCAUAUAUAUCAUGUCACAUCACUCAUAACACCCGAGGUCCUAAAUAUAGACGUAUCUACAGAAAUUGCUCGAGAUUUCAGCUUAAUUUCUAUUAUUGUUCUUGCUUCAAUCGGCAUGCUACCUUAACAGACCCUCAAGUCUUUCUUUGAAACUUCUCUGAGAAAAUAGCAAAGAAAUUCCUUGUUCUUCCAUGACACUACGUAAGAUCAAUCAAAAGAUCUGUUGGAUAGAUCAAGGUUCAAGGAAAGCUAGGCUUAAAAGUUCUACUUCAAACUCUGAGAAGGUAGUGGGGGGAAAAAAUCAACACUAUUCACAAAAAAAUAUCUCCAUCAAUAGUUCUUAAAUGAUUAAACUUUACCAUCUGGAAUCAAUUGCCCUGUGAUGGAGAAACAGAUGUUCUAUCAAAGUUGCUUUGUGACCAAACAAGCCAAGAAGAAGGGUCAAUCCAGCUCCUGAAACACACAGAGCCCUGUACAGAGCCAAGGAAAGGGAAAAAAUGGUAAAGUAGAUUGUCUUUGGUCAGCGGAGACAUGAACAAGGCUAGGAGUUCUACUUUGGUCCACUCAUAAGCCAUCAGUCCUGUAGCUGAGCAAAGACCACCACCGCACUUUUUCCUUGGGUUUCUGAUAUAAGAGAAAGAUAAGUUUGUUAUUAAUAUGUGUGAUCCUACCAGAAUAUGUAUUCCUUGAGGGCAGUGGCCUUCAUUGAUUUUGUGCCUUGCAUGAAGUAGAUCCUCAGCUAUUUAUCACAUGGAUGGAUGGAUGGACGGGUGGAUGGAUGGAUGAAGCUGCUUCCCAUUGAACAGCACCCCUCAUUUGGAUGCCUCUCCCAUCCCCUUUUAGGUUGACACCAGCCACAUCCAAAUCCCCUCAGAUUCCAGCAUCUGGGUUUGAACAGAUGCUGUGAAAGCCUACCUCCUGCAGGCUAGGGAUGGAAAUCACAACUGUGUGGUUUGCUCUGUAGGGAUGUGAAAUUUAUUUCUAAUCUAAGUUAAAGUUGAAUUUACCCCUAAAAUGUGAGUUAUCAGAACCUUCAUAAGUUUUACUCUACCUUCUUUUUUAAAAAAAAAUGUCUAAUCUUUAUGGGCAAAUAAUCUUAGACUUUUUUUUAAGUUUUCACACAGUACUUUUAUUGCUUUUUAAUUAAAGUAUAGUCAAUUUACAAUGUUGUGCCAAUUUCUGCCAUAUCACAAAGUGACCUAGUCAUAUAUAUAUAUUUUUUUCCCUUUCUUAUAUUAUCUUCCAUCACAUUCUAUCCCAAGAGACUGGAUGUGUUUCCCGGUGCUAUAGAGUAGGACCUCAUUGCUUAUCCAUUCUAAAUGGAAUAGUUUGCAUCUACUAAUCCCAAACUCUCCAUCCAUCCCGGUCCCUCCCAAGUAUGGAGAUUGCCUAUAUUUUCCAUUCUCCUCCUUUUUUUUAAUAUAAAGUAUAUAAAGAUAGGAGUUCCUGUCAUGGCUCAGCGGAAACAAAUCUGACUAGCAUCCUUGAAGACGCAUGUUCGAUCCCUGGCCUCACUCAGUGGGUUAAGGAUCCGGCAUUGCUGUGAGCUGUGGUAUAGGCCGGCAGCUGCAGCUCUGAUUUGACCCCUUGCCUGGGAUCCUCCAUAUGCUGUGGGUGUGGCCCUAAAAAGACCAAAAAAAAAAGGUAUGUAAAGAUAAGCAAAAAAUCAAUUUCGCAUCUAUUUAAAUGGAUAUUUUAUUUUUCUUUUUUAUAUUUGGUAAUAUGGAGAAUUAUAUUCAUUGGCUCUCAAGAAGUAAAGCAAUCUUGCAUUUCUGGGAUAACUUCUACUUCAUUAUUACGUAAUGUUUUUACAUGUUGUUGGAUUUCAUAUGCUGAUACUUUAUGAAGGACUGGGUAUUCAUGAGGGAUAUUGGUUUGCAGUUUUCUUUGCUUUUUGAUAAUAUCUUUGACUAGUUUUAGCAUCAAGGUUAUGUUGACCUCAUAAAGCAGGUUGGGAUGAAUUCCCAAUUCCUGAAACCAUCUGGACUUGGAGUUUUCUUAAAGCCAAAGACCAGUUUUGAGAACACAUUUUAUUCUUACCCAACCCACCUGACAGAAUGUACAAUAAACACUUUCCCUUCAUAUCUCA
rnacentral:lncRNA from 1 species